rnacentral:rRNA from 1 species
GUCGAACGAUGAAGCCCAGCUUGCUGGGUGGAUUAGUGGCGAACGGGUGAGUAACACGUGAGUAACCUGCCCCUGACUCUGGGAUAAGCCCGGGAAACUGGGUCUAAUACCGGAUAUGACCAUGGGACGCAUGUCUUGUGGUGGAAAGAUUUAUAGGUUGGGGAUGGACUCGCGGCCUAUCAGCUUGUUGGUGAGGUAAUGGCUCACCAAGGCGACGACGGGUAGCCGGCCUGAGAGGGUGACCGGCCACACUGGGACUGAGACACGGCCCAGACUCCUACGGGAGGCAGCAGUGGGGAAUAUUGCACAAUGGGCGCAAGCCUGAUGCAGCGACGCCGCGUGAGGGAUGACGGCCUUCGGGUUGUAAACCUCUUUCAGUAGGGAAGAAGCGAGAGUGACGGUACCUGCAGAAGAAGCGCCGGCUAACUACGUGCCAGCAGCCGCGGUAAUACGUAGGGCGCAAGCGUUAUCCGGAUUUAUUGGGCGUAAAGAGCUCGUAGGCGGUUCGUCGCGUCUGCCGUGAAAGUCCGAGGCUCAACCUCGGAUCUGCGGUGGGUACGGGCAGACUAGAGUGAUGUAGGGGAGACUGGAAUUCCUGGUGUAGCGGUGAAAUGCGCAGAUAUCAGGAGGAACACCGAUGGCGAAGGCAGGUCUCUGGGCAUUUACUGACGCUGAGGAGCGAAAGCAUGGGGAGCGAACAGGAUUAGAUACCCUGGUAGUCCAUGCCGUAAACGUUGGGCACUAGGUGUGGGGGACAUUCCACGUUUUCCGCGCCGUAGCUAACGCAUUAAGUGCCCCGCCUGGGGAGUACGGCCGCAAGGCUAAAACUCAAAGGAAUUGACGGGGGCCCGCACAAGCGGCGGAGCAUGCGGAUUAAUUCGAAGCAACGCGAAGAACCUUACCUACACUUGACAUCCCUUGCAUUACUCUUAAUCGAGGAAAUCCCUUCGGGGACAAGGUGACAGGUGGUGCAUGGUUGUCGUCAGCUCGUGUCGUGAGAUGUUGGGUUAAGUCCCGCAACGAGCGCAACCCUUGUCCUGUGUUGCCAGCGCGUAAUGGCGGGGACUCGCAGGAGACUGCCGGGGUCAACUCGGAGGAAGGUGGGGACGACGUCAAGUCAUCAUGCCCCUUAUGUCCAGGGCUUCACACGUGCUACAAUGGCCGGUACAGAGGGCUGCGAUACCGUGAGGUGGAGCGAAUCCCUUAAAGCCGGUCUCAGUUCGGAUCGGGGUCUGCAACUCGACCCCGUGAAGUCGGAGUCGCUAGUAAUCGCAGAUCAGCAACGCUGCGGUGAAUACGUUCCCGGGCCUUGCACUCACCGCCCGUCA